rnacentral:rRNA from 1 species
AUGGGGUGCAUCCCCUCGCGUGCGGCGUCUCGGUCCGCCGCGCCAGCGUCCACGCCGGCGCCCGCGUCCACGCCCAGCCCCUGGGGCGAUCUACCGCUGGAGCUACUCGUCGAGGUCUCUGACCGCCUGCAGCACGCCACCGACUUCGUCCGCUUCCACGCCGUCUGCAGGCCGUGGCGCGACGCGGCGGCGCUGCUCUCCCGCCGCACCUGCCUGCCGUGGGUUCUCACGUUGUGCCACGACGAGAUGCUACACUCCAUCAUCGACUUUCAUCACCCCCUCGAGACGCCGCAGGACGACCACCGCGACUUCAUCCUCGCCGAUCCACCAAGUGCGCCACGUGCCAAUAACAGAAUCAGAAUCUGGGUGGCUAGCGCGGAUGGCACGGCUACCUGGCUCUUCGUUGCGAGUCCCCAGCCGAGACUCGUCGACAUUCUUACCGGAGCCGUCAAGCCCUUACCUCCCUUCCCAGACGAUGAAAGAAUGUCCAUGGAGAAUUUGCGCGGCGUCGUCUAUGGCGAUGGUACUGUUUUUCUCUACAACUUUAUUAACAGGUACCCCUCAGAGUCCAUUACGGCGGCUAUCAUGUGUCCCGGCAGUGUGACCUGGACGGUCAUGACAAACAGGUUGGAAUCGUUUCGACAACCCUAUGCCAUGUACCAUGAUGGCAAGGUCCUAGUGCUGGAUGGUGAUUCUCUGUGGUGCUUCAUGAUGACGACGGACUUGGAAGCCAACGACGGUGAUGUCGGCAGAGUCGAGUUGGGAUCUAUAUGGAGAUAUACAUUAUUCUCAUGA